rnacentral:rRNA from 1 species
CAAGCGGUGGAGUAUGUGGUUUAAUUCGAUGCAACGCGAAGAACCUUACCUGGUCUUGACAUCCCGGAGACCCUUAGGAAACUAGGGGGUGCUUCCAUCUGGAAGAAUCUGGAGACAAGGUGCUGCAUGGCUGUCGUCAGCUCGUGCGUGAGAUGUUGGGUUAAGUCCCGCAACGAGCGCAACCCUUGCCUUUAGUUGCCAGCAGUUCGGCUGGGCACUCUAAAGGGACUGCCGGUGUUAAACCGGAGGAAGGUGGGGAUGACGUCAAGUCAUCAUGGCCCUUACGGCCUGGGCUACACACGUGCUACAAUGGUCGGUACAAAGGGCUGCCAAGCCGCGAGGUGGAGCUAAUCCCAUAAAACCGAUCGUAGUCCGGAUCGCAGUCUGCAACUCGACUGCGUGAAGUCGGAAUCGCUAGUAAUCGUGAAUCAGAAUGUCACGGUGAAUACGUUCCCGGGCCUU